rnacentral:rRNA from 1 species
GAUGAACGCUGGCGGCGUGCCUAACACAUGCAAGUCGAACGAACAGAUGAGGAGCUUGCGCCUUUGCCGUUAGCGGCGGACGGGUGAGUAACACGUGGAUCACCUCCUUAUCUGUCUGGGAUAACUACGGAACACCGGAUCUAAUACCAGAUAAUAUAUUGAACCGCAUGGUUCAAUAGUGAAAGACGGUUUUGCUGUCUCUUAUAGCUGGAUCCGCGCCGCAUUAGCUAGUUGGUAAGGUAACGGCCUACCAAGGCUACGAUGCGUAGCCGACAUGAGGGGGUGAUCGGCCACACUGGAACUGAGACACGGUCCAGACUCCUACGGGAGGCAGCAGUAGGGAAUCUUCCGCAAUGGGCGAAAGCUUGACGGAGCAACGCCGCGUGAGUGAUGAAGGUCUUCGGAUCGUAAAGCUCUGUUAUUGGGGAAGAACAAAUGUGUAAGUAAAUAUGCACGUCUUGACGGUACCUAAUCAGAAAGCCCCGGCUAACUACGUG